rnacentral:rRNA from 1 species
UACGUAGGGUGCGAGCGUUAAUCGGAAUUACUGGGCGUAAAGCGUGCGCAGGCGGUUUUGCAAGCCGGAUGUGAAAUCCCCGGGCUUAACCUGGGAAUGGCAUUUGGGACUGCAAGGCUGGAGUGCGGCAGAGGAGACUGGAAUUCCUGGUGUAGCAGUGAAAUGCGUAGAUAUCAUGAGGAAGACCAGUGGCGAAGGCGGGUCUCUGGACAGUUCCUGACACUGAGACACGAAGGCCAGGGGAGCAAACGGG